CCUACGGGCGGCAGCAGUGGGGAAUAUUGCACAAUGGGCGAAAGCCUGAUGCAGCAACGCCGCGUGAAGGAAGAAGGGUUUCGGCUCGUAAACUUCUAUCAACAGGGACGAAAGAAAUGACGGUACCAGCAUAAGAAGCCCCGGCUAACUACGUGCCAGCAGCCGCGGAAAUACGUAGGGGGCAAGCGUUAUCCGGAAUUACUGGGUGUAAAGGGGGAGUAGGCGGCAUGUUAAGCCAGAGGUGAAAGCCUUGGGCUUAACCCGGGGAUUGCAUUUGGAACUGGCAAGCUAGAGUACAGGAGAGGAAAGCGGAAUUCCUAGUGUAGCGGUGAAAUGCGUAGAGAUUAGGAAGAACACCAGUGGCGAAGGCGGCUUUCUGGACUGAAACUGACGCUGAGGCACGAAAGCGUGGGGAGCGAACAGGAUUAGAUACCCCUGUAGUC
rnacentral:rRNA from 1 species